rnacentral:lncRNA from 1 species
CCGCCGCCGGGUGUCGGUUUCAGCGCCGCCGCCUGCGUCUCCCGGGCCCUAACUACCCACCGCCUGCCGCCUGCGCCCGCGCCCAGGCCCGCCGCGCGCCCAGGCCCUCGCCAGCGUCCGGGGCUACCGCCGGCGCCGCCCGGGUCCCAGCGCCGCAGCCCCGCGCGCAGAUGGCGCACUCGGCAUUACGCCGUGCGCUGGAGCGCGCUGGAGCAGAGCUGCCCCAUCCGCGUGGAGCACGACCGCCGGCGCCGCCAGUUCACUGUCCGGCUCAACGGAUGUCAUGACCGGGCCGUCCUGCUCUAUGAGUACGUGGGCAAGCGGAUCGUGGACCUGCAGCACACCGAGGUCCCAGAUGCCUACCGUGGGCGCGGCAUCGCCAAGCACCUCGCCAAGGCCGCCCUGGACUUCGUGGUGGAGGAGGACCUGAAGGCCCAUCUCACCUGCUGGUACAUCCAGAAGUACGUCAAGGAGAACCCCCUGCCGCAGUACCUGGAGCGCCUGCAGCCGUAACCCUGGCCUGCAGGCGGGAGCGCUCCCUGCCGGACUCUUCCACGUGGCCUUUGCCCGGCCCUACGUGCUCUCAGGAACCUGGUCCCACUGGGAACAGACUCAGAGUUAUUUUUGUAAGGACACUUAUCUGUGCUCCACGUCCAGAUCCCUGGAGGCCGCUGACCAAUGAUGGGCGGUGACCCGGUAACUGAGGUGGCAAGGAGGCCGGGUAGUCCCUGCAGCUCCCUUUCUGCAGAGACCAGCAGCUUCGUGGGAGGCCUGUGGGCUGCACUAGGGGCUAGAGCCAGCCUGCAUCCCGCCCGCCGGGUUCCACGUGGAGAUCAGCAGGAGGGCCAGUGCGGGACCCCUGCUGCCACCUCUCCUGGGCCCGUGUCCUUUCUGGAAAUUAGGAAGGUGACUCUCCAUCCGGCCAGCCCACAACCAAUACUUGAACCAGGAGGCUUGGGGUGGUGGAGGCCCGCAGAGGCCCUGGGCCCAGGAACCGAGGCUAGGGCUUUCUCAGGAGACCUGAUCCAAGCUCCCGCUGGUCAGGUCGCCACAGACACCGUGCCCUGGAGCCCCCAGCUCAUCCCGUCUGGUGCUACCCUGUCUGCCUGGCAGCCCAGCCUCACCCCUCCCAUCGGGUCACCUGGGAGUCCUUGGGCCCGUGGCAGGGUGUGGACCCAGCUGGCCCCGGGACCGCCCCCUUCCUCAUUCUCCAAGCUCCUCAACAGGUCUCAGAGGAACGUUUCCGUAAAAGUCCUCAGCCCAGCCUUCAGUGUGGAGAGCGAGACCCUGAGUGGCACUGGGGCUUGGCUGAGGUCUCCCCGCAGGAUAACAAUGACUUCAGGACCCCAGACCCCUGUCUGGGCAGCUCUGCCUUUCCAGCUGGCCCAGCCCCCACAUCACAGUUCCCUGCCAUCUCCAGGUGCAAAAGGCCCCGAGGCCACAGCCCAGCUAUGAAGCAGAGUGACUUCGUGGGGUUUCCUAGGAAGGGGCAGCGAUGUCAUGCAGGAGAUCUGCUGUGCCAUAAGAAGUCGCUCCUUUGGGAUUUCUGGUCCACUGCAGGGAGGUGAGGCCCAGCCUCAUGUCAACACAUGCCCAUCAAGGAAAGCUGUGGCUAAUGCUUACAAAACAAGUGAAAAUCUUGCACCAGGCCCAGGGCCAUAUCUUAUUCCAUGCCAGCUGCUGAGGGAGGGAACAGACUGCAAGACAAUUUCUCCUAGUUCCCACUCAGGGUUUCAUGGCUACUCAGAAUGAAAGAGAAAGUGUCAGGCCCGUUGCAAUCUUUUUUUUUUUUUUUUUUUUUUUGGAGAUGGAGUCUCGCUCUGUCGCCCAGGCUGGAGUGCAGUGGUGUGAUCUUGGCUCACUGCAACCACCACCUCCCGGGUUCAAGCGAUUCUCCUGCCUCAGCUUCCCAAGUAGCUGGGGUUACAGGUGCGUGCCACCACACCCAGCUAAUUUUUGUAUUUUUAGUAGAGACGGGGUUUCACCAUGUUGGCCAGGCUGGUCUCGAACCCCUGACCUCAAAUGAUCCACCCGCCUUGGCCUCCCAAAGUGUUGGGAUUACAGGUGUGAGCCACCUCACCCGGCCCCGUUGCAAUCUUAUUCCACUUUGUUUUCACAGCAGUCCCGUGACGUGCCUAUUAUUAGGCCUAUUUGAUAGAUGAGACUGAAACUCAAUCAGGGGUCACAAGCCAAAGCCCAUGCUACUUGAAGGGCUCAGGAUUCAACCCAGCUCCCGUCCUCUUGGUGGCAUCGAGCUUGUGUGAUACAAGGUCUUAUGUCUGCUUGUGGUGACAUGGCCUUGAAAGCAAUAAACAUAAAACUUCCAGCAACUUCCCACUCAGCUGCAAGCCUGCAAAGGGUCCUGCCUCGAGCCAUAAGGUGAGCGGCUAACCAGUGCUGGGCUG